rnacentral:rRNA from 1 species
GGGUCCCACCUCUUCCCAUCCCGAACAGAGAAGUUAAGCCCUGCAGCGCCGAUGGUACUGGGGUUACACCCGGGAGAGUAGGUCGCCGCCACAU